UACGAAGGGGGGCUAGCGUUGUUCGGAAUUACUGGGCGUAAAGGGCGCGCAGGCGGCCCCUCCAAGUCAGGCGUGAAAGCCCCGGGCUCAACCCGGGAAUAGCGCUUGAGACUGGGGGGCUUGAGUUCGGGAGAGGAGAGUGGAAUUCCCAGUGUAGAGGUGAAAUUCGUAGAUAUUGGGAAGAACACCGGUGGCGAAGGCGGCUCUCUGGGCCGAUACGU
rnacentral:rRNA from 1 species